UACGUAGGGGGCAAGCGUUGUCCGGAAUCAUUGGGCGUAAAGCGCGUGUAGGCGGCCAGAAAAGUCCGCUGUGAAAACUCGAGGCUCAACUUCGAGCUGUCGGUGGAAACUUUCUGGCUAGAGUCCGGAAGAGGAGAGUGGAAUUCCUGGUGUAGCGGUGAAAUGCGCAGAUAUCAGGAAGAACACCCGUGGCGAAGGCGGUUCUCUGGGGACGGUACUGACGCUGAGACGCGAAAGCGUGGGGAGCGAACAGG
rnacentral:rRNA from 1 species